GUCAUACUCUGCAAGAAAAUUAUUGGAGCUGACAUACAUGCAUGAACAUGGCUGCAAAGUGCAGCUAUCACAGUUUUCUCAAAAAUAAAUUGACUAAAUAUGGGUUGCAGCUAUGAGUAUUCACAAGCAUCUACAUAAGUAUUGCUUGAAGUCCAACUUUACCAAAAAUGUUCUUUGCUUCUUUAUGCCCCUUCAAAUUGAGCGCAGUCAUGGCAUACGCUGCUCAGAUUAUCAGCAGGCUGCUGCGCUCAUGCGCAUGUGUCUACCUUCACCAAGCGCCGAAGCCCGGUGGGCCUGUCAGCGUGAUAAUGUGCUAUCGUGCAUGGUUGUUAUCAUGAGGAGGGUUGUGUUUCCCUCUCCCUUCGUGAAGGCGAGGCUGUUAAAAAGGAUAGCAGGGCCACACUGAGGAUGCUGUGUCUCUACUGGCAGCAGUUAUGCCAGAUUGAAAUAAUGUUGUUCAUCGUCCGGCGUAAUAUUCCUGCCUUGGCUCGGAGCCCUGCUCGGCCAAACAUAACAACUGGUGGCAGCGGUGGGAUGGUGGAUUCCCGGAGGCUCUGUGGCAGCAGUCGCCUUUCAACACUUUAAGUGCUGGUCUCGAAUCAACUCGUCUGGGCAUCCGUGCACACCCCUGGUCAACGCCAUAAAGUUGUGUCACUAUUUCUGAUGAAUCCCUGCCUUUCCUGAAAUAUCUGUGGAUGUGAAACCCCCACAAGCUGGUUGUGCUCUCUACGGAGAGAAUUGCAUGGCAGCUUUUGUUUUUAUGUGAUGGGUGCCACAAUAAAUUUAUCUGUUGGUGCUG